rnacentral:rRNA from 1 species
UACGAAGGGGGCUAGCGUUGCUCGGAAUCACUGGGCGUAAAGCGCACGUAGGCGGUUUCCUAAGUCGGUGGUGAAAUCCUGGAGCUCAACUCCAGAACUGCCUCCGAUACUGAGAGUCUUCGAGUCCGGGAGAGGUGAGUGGAACUGCGAGUGUAGAGGUGAAAUUCGUAGAUAUUCGCAAGAACACCAGUGGCGAAGGCGGCUCACUGGCCCGGUACUGACGCUGAGGUGCGAAAGCGUGGGGAGCAAACAGG